rnacentral:rRNA from 1 species
UUGCCCUAGUAACGGCGAGUGAAGCGGCAACAGCUCAAAUUUGAAAUCUGGCCUCGGCCCGAGUUGUAAUUUGUAGAGGAUGCUUUUGGCGCGGCGCCUUCUGAGUUCCCUGGAACGGGACGCCAGAGAGGGUGAGAGCCCCGUACGGUUGGACGCCAAGCCUCUGUAAAGCUCCUUCGACGAGUCGAGUAGUUUGGGAAUGCUGCUCAAAAUGGGAGGUAAAUGCCUUCUAAAGCUAAAUACUGGCCAGAGACCGAUAGCGCACAAGUAGAGUGAUCGAAAGAUGAAAAGCACUUUGAAAAGAGGGUUAAAUAGCACGUGAAAUUGUUGAAAGGGAAGCGCUCAUGACCAGACGUGUGCCUCGUGAAUCAUCCGGCGUUCUCGCCGGUGCACUUCGCCUGGCACAGGCCAGCAUCGGUUUUCCCAGGGGGAUAAAAGCCGAGGGAACGUAGCUCUUCCGGGAGUGUUAUAGCCCGUGGCACAAUGCCCUUGGGGGGACCGAGCCCGCGCUCCGCAAGGAUGCUGGCAUAAUGGUCAUCAGCGACCCGUCUUGAAACACGGACCAAGGAGUCAAGCAUUAGGGCGAGUGUUUGGGUGUCAAACCCGCACCCGAAAUGAAAUGAACGCCAGUGAGAGCUUCGGCGCAUCAUCGACCGAUCUGAUGUAUUCCGAUGGAUUUGAGUAAGAGCUUACCGCUUGGACCCCAAAGAUGGUGACUAUGCCUGGAUAAGGUGAAGCCGUAAGAAACUCUGGUGGAGGUCCCACCGGUCUGACUGCCAAUCGAUCGUCAAUCUGGGCUGGGGGCGAAAAAUAAUUGAAAAUUU